rnacentral:rRNA from 1 species
UAAUACGUAGGGUGCAAGCGUUGUCCGGAAUUAUUGGGCGUAAAGAGCUCGUAGGCGGUCUGUCGCGUCUGCUGUGAAAACUCGGGGCUCAACCCCGGGCCUGCAGUGGGUACGGGCAGACUAGAGUGCGGUAGGGGAGACUGGAAUUCCUGGUGUAGCGGUGAAAUGCGCAGAUAUCAGGAGGAACACCGGUGGCGAAGGCGGGUCUCUGGGCCGUAACUGACGCUGAGGAGCGAAAGCAUGGGGAGCGAACAGG